CCUACGGGUGGCAGCAGUGAGGAAUAUUGGUCAAUGGGCGAGAGCCUGAACCAGCCAAGUCGCGUGAAGGAUGACGGCCCUACGGGUUGUAAACUUCUUUUGUCAGGGAGCAAUUGGGUCCACGCGUGGGCUUAGCGAGAGUACCUGAAGAAAAAGCAUCGGCUAACUCCGUGCCAGCAGCCGCGGUAAUACGGAGGAUGCGAGCGUUAUCCGGAUUUAUUGGGUUUAAAGGGUGCGUAGGCGGAUUUUUAAGUCAGCGGUAAAAUGUCCGGGCUCAACCCGGGCCGGCCGUUGAAACUGGGGAUCUUGAGUGGGCGAGAAGUAUGCGGAAUGCGUGGUGUAGCGGUGAAAUGCAUAGAUAUCACGCAGAACUCCGAUUGCGAAGGCAGCAUACCGGCGCCCGACUGACGCUGAGGCACGAAAGCGUGGGGAUCGAACAGGAUUAGAUACCCCAGUAGUC
rnacentral:rRNA from 1 species